GACAGAGGUGCCGAGCGUUAGGCGGAAUCACUGGGCUUAAGGCGUGUGUAGGCGGGCGGGCAAGUACCUUGUGAAAUCCCACGGCUCAACCGUGGAACGGCUGGGUAUACUGCCUGUCUUGAGCCAACUAGGGGCGAGCGGAACAGACGGUGGAGCGGUGAAAUGCGUAGAUAUCGUCUGGAACGCCAAAGGUGAAAACAGCUCGCUGGGGUUGUGCUGACGCUGAGACACGAAAGCCAGGGGAGCGAACGGG
rnacentral:rRNA from 1 species